rnacentral:lncRNA from 1 species
UAACAAAGCAUUGUUUAUUGGAAAGAUGGAAAAGUUGCAUUGAAAGACACUAGUGAUCUUCUCCAAACCAACUUUAGUAAAGAAAGCAUGAAAGCAUUGAUUAAAGAUUAUUUGACAACAUAUGGAAUUGCGGCAAUUGAAGCUGCAAGUUACAGAACUAGGGUGGAUAAUGAUGGCAGAUAGAAUUUUGUUGGAAACAUUCAAUCAAGUGGACUUUGGUCUUCUGCUAUUUCUACAAUGCAAUAAGAGAAGAUGCCACGGUGUCGUAAUACAUGAAGUCUUGCUUGAGAAUGCUCCGAGCACUUGAUUGUAGAAAGAAGAAUAGAAAUUGUAACAACAAAAUCCUGAUUCUAAUAGAAUACUAAUUAAACUCUAAUUAGAUCAUAAUAAUGCUAAGUAAGCUUCAAUAAAAUUCAAAAAAACCUCAAGAAAUUUCAAACAAAUAAUAAGAAUUCUUAAAGAAAUAUUAGAAAGAUCACAAAUAUCACUCAAAUACAUCUCAAUUCAAUCUUAAUUUAAUUCUAAUUAAAAUCCUAUUGAACUUUAUUCAAACUUUAGGCCAAACCUAAUUAAAUCUUAAAUCCUAAUAAAAUCCUAAAUCCUAAAUCAAACCCUAAAAAAAUCUUAAAUCAAACUCCAACCAAAUCCUAAACCAAACCCUAACCAAACCCUAACCAAACCCUAAUCAAAUCCUAAACCAAAUCCUAAAUCCUAAAUCAAACUCUAACCAAAUCCUAAACCAAAUCCUAAACCUUAAACUAAACCCUAAUCAAAUUCUAAAUCCUAAAUCAAAUCCUAACUAAAUCCUAAACCCUAAAUCAAACCCUAAUCCAAAUCCUAAAUCCUAAACCAAACUCUAAC